GAGGCCACGAGCGUUAGGCGGAAUCACUGGGCUUAAAGCGUGUGUAGGCGGACCGUUAAGUGCCCGCGUGAAAUCCCCCGGCUCAACCGGGGAACGGCCGGGCAUACUGGCGGUCUUGAGCGAUCCAGGGGUCAUCGGAACAAACGGUGGAGCGGUGAAAUGCGUAGAUAUCGUUUGGAACGCCGACGGUGAAAACAGAUGACUGGGGAUCCGCUGACGCUGAGACACGAAAGCCAGGGGAGCAAACGGGAUUAGAUACCCCGGUAGUCCUGGCCCUAAACGAUGUCGACUAGAUCGCGGGACCUCUGACGGUCUCGCGGUCGAAGCAAAAGUGCUAAGUCGACCGCCUGGGAAGUACGGUCGCAAGGCUA
rnacentral:rRNA from 1 species